AGAACGAACGCUGGCGGCAUGCCUAAUACAUGCAAGUCGAACGAACACUUCGGUGUUAGUGGCGCACGGGUGCGUAACGCGUGGGAAUCUGCCCUUGGGUUCGGAAUAACAGUUGGAAACGACUGCUAAUACCGGAUGAUAUCGAAAGAUCAAAGAUUUAUCGCCCAGGGAUGAGCCCGCGUAGGAUUAGCUAGUUGGUGAGGUAAAGGCUCACCAAGGCGACGAUCCUUAGCUGGUCUGAGAGGAUGAUCACGCCACACUGGGACUG
rnacentral:rRNA from 1 species